AUGGAGGAUGGACCUCAGAUAUGCGAUGCGAGUGGAACAACAACAACAAUAGUAGGAGAUCAAAGAGGCACCAGCAACAGCAGCUUCGGCUGUGAUGAUUGGAGCAAUGCCUGCUCAACUUCUGGGCUUGAGAAUACUAAUGGAGUAUUUGUUGGUCAUCACUCAGCUGGGCCUUCACUCCCUUUUGAGGAACAGCAGCAGCUGCCACCAUCGAUCUGCCAAUUCCUCUCAUCAUCAUACUCAUGUUAUAAUCCAUCCUCCUCGUCAUGCCAGCCGGUCAUGACAUCGACCACUCUUCUCCAAUCCAUGGGAGGCAACGAUCACCAUCCGUCUUAUCUCCUCGAUGGCUUCCCUACUUUCUGCCCUUCCAUGCCCCUAAUGUCGCCACAGCCACCACCGGAGAACGGCACCAGCUGUCAUGACGCCAACCAGCCAUCGCAGAUGCUGGCCACGGAUGAGCAAGCGGCGGCGGCUCAUCACCAGCAAGAUCCAAGCACCAUUGCUAAGAAGCGAGAGGAAAGGGACAGGGCCAAGCAAAGGUACAACGAGAAGAAGAAGAACAGAAAGUUCUGCAAGCAGAUUAUGUACGCCUCCCGCAAAGCGAGGGCGGACACGCGGAAGCGGGUCAAGGGCAGAUUCGCAAAGGCUAGCAAUGAACACCAACACAUACUACACUCAGAUGCAGCAUAA
rnacentral:rRNA from 1 species